rnacentral:tRNA from 1 species
GCGAGAGUGGCCUAAUUGGUAACGGCAAGGGAUUUAAGCUCCCUGAACUACCGGUUCGAGUCCGGUCUCUCGCACCA